rnacentral:tRNA from 1 species
GUGGCUAUAGUGUAAGGGUUAGCACAAGAGAUUGUGGAUCUCUUUGUACGGGUUCGAAUCCCGUUAGCCACCCCA